ACUGGCAGGACAUCUGAGUCUCUUGUCUCAUUUAAUCUUUGUAUGACAUUGGACAAUUCUCAGGAUGAAAGAAAGCCGAGUAGUACAGUUGUACUUAUUAAGUGUGCUCAACAUAAGGAUGCUUUUCUGAGUACAUUCUGCACCUUCAUCAUCGGCUAAAGUGGCACGAAGGUCUGUGACGUGAUGACAUGAACAGCAACAAAGGCUAACUGUGGCGUGCUGCAUCUGUGGCCCACACUCUAUGCCCUGCAGAGAGAAACUCUAUCCUUGUCAUUUGUAUUUGCUGUCAGAACUUUCAUGAGUCAACAGAGAAAUAAAACACAACCCCAGGAUCAGAGAAUGGGGUGAUAUUAAUAAUGGUACAAAUCUGUUUGACUGAUAGAAAGUAGAUCGAAUUUACCUGCCUAAUUAUGCCUCGCUUUGGUUUAACUGUGAGCACUAUGAAGAACAGACAACUAACCCCAGUAGGCUGCUCUGCUCUUCUGUAUUAGCAGCUGCAACAUUGGUUUCUCUUGAUAAAAUAUUUCAGAGGAUCAAAGCAGAAGACUAUGGAGAUACUCACAAUCCAUAACUAUAUAAAUGUAAAUACAACAGAAUCCGUUUUAAUCAGGACACUUAAAACAAUGCACAGAAGUGAAGACAAAGAAUUGCUUCACAGAGGGAAGAACUUUGAGAACAGACCCAUCUCAGACUACCAGGACCCCUGGAAUGAUGGGGAAGGAGAAGGAAUAUCGGCCUGAGCUACGACCCUGCCACAGGAGGGGAUCAAUACUGACACUGUGUUACAGGCACUUUCAGGCUGAAAUUCCAAGCAGAGAGGGGUGAUCUGAGCUUGUUGCAUCACCAAAUAGACCCAACAGAUUAUCAAAACUACUAGCCAAAUUACCUCAUCUCCACUGUUGUACUAACUCAGGUUAAAAACGGAACUUUUGUAUUGAGAGCUUUUGGUUUUUUCGGGUUUGGUGUUGUUUUUUUUAAUCAUACUUGCACCAGAUUUAAAAAGCCAAUUACUGAAUAUCCCAUUUUGCACAAUGUUUUCACGGUAAAUUAAGACAAUGAUUAACAAAAAAACCUCACUAAGCAUAUUAUCUUAGAACUCAAUUGUUAUGAUUGGAAGAACUCAGUGGAUAUUUUCAUGGUAAUACAAAAUAUAAAAAUCUUGGCCCAAGAACAUAAAGGAAAUGAAUUCCAACCCCAAUUAUCAGACUUUACAUAUGAUAGCCAUGGAAUAACCUAGCUAACUGAAAAUGGAAUUUAAAAUAAUCCAAAACCUGGUCUUGGAGAAUGAGCAUAUUCACACCACAAGGUUCUUAAUUACCAGCAUAAGCCUACUGCUGUAUUUAAAUAUGCAACCAAAGUCAAGCCAAACUUCUAAACUAGAAUAAAAAACAAAUAAAUCUUCACUGAGACAUCUAGUGUCUCCCCUAAGUCAAGCACAGUGAAAAUGGCAGCUGGGUCACACACCACCAGGAUCCUGGUAGAUUAUUUACAGCUGGGCAGUCAUAUAUGCUUUCAGUAUCAUCUUUCCCUGGGUUCUGUACUCACCAGAGCCCUUGAUACCGAAAUGGGUGAAAACAGAAAUGGGAAUGUUCAAUUCCACAACAAAAAGAAGAGACUGAAAGGUUUCACUGGGGGUCUACCAUAGCUUGAAAGUGUCUGCUCAGCCUGAAACCAGUCCUUAGCCUUGUAUCUGUGGUCCCACGUGGCCUCCUUGUCUCCCACUUCAGCAGGAUUUAUGUCGGAAGGUCUGCAAUAAAUUAACUGUUCUACUGGGUAUUGUAAGUGAGAUGAUUCUAAAGACAUGCUGAUUUCUUUCUUUAUUUCCCCCCCUCACAUUUAUUUUGCUCUGCCUAGUAGGAUAAAGCCUGAACCAAGAUGUGGUUUGGAAUCCUAAGUGGGCAAAAAUAGAACUAUUUAGAAAGGCUGUAAACUCCUCCUAUAACCCAGUGUUUAAAUAAUGUAUUAGACAUAUCUAUAUAUACACAAAGACAUAUACACAUGCACUUAGACUAAUAUAUAUAUAUAUAUUCCCCUGCAGUUCUGUAUUAAUCAAAUGGAAUAUUCUGUAGUAGAAGUACAAUAGUAAUAACUCAAAAUAGCACUUCUGUUCAAGUUGCCUUGUACAAGCUUAUUUGAGUUCUAAUUGUGUGCUGAAAUUCUCCCCUUUAAUACCUAGGUCUAUUUGAAGGUUAGCUUUUGGUCCCAAGGAGAUAAAGGAAAAUGUGCCAACAAUUUGAGAGAUUUGAUUACCUGUAUAAAAUUAUGCUUGCUCAUUUUUCCUAGGCAUGAUACUCUCGGGGAAAGUUAUAUUAAAGAGGGAAUAGAAAUAGUGUACAUCCAAAGAAAAUAUUUUCCAAUUAUGUUUCACAAGAUGCAGAAAAUAUUACUUGUUAUAGAGGAUUAUGAAUGAGAUAAUUACCGAGAGUCUAAUGUACCUAAAGCUACAAUAAA